UACGGAGGGUGCAAGCGUUAUCCGGAUUCACUGGGCUUAAAGGGUGCGUAGGCGGGCUGGUAAGUCAGUGGUGAAAUCUCCAGGCUUAACUUGGAAACUGCCAUUGAUACUAUCAGUCUUGAAUACCGUGGAGGUCAGCGGAAUAUGUCAUGUAGCGGUGAAAUGCUUAGAUAUGACAUAGAACACCAAUUGCGAAGGCAGCUGGCUACACGAAUAUUGACACUGAUGCACGAAAGCGUGGGGAUCAAACAGG
rnacentral:rRNA from 1 species